AUGGGAUCACGGAGCCAGAAAUGCCUGUAGAGCAAUCUAGAUUUGAGGGGGAUGACAUUUGAACUGCGAUCUGAAGGGACAAGAGGAAGGUUUAGGCCAGCAUGUCUGGAGUAUGGUGCAAGAGAGAGAAAGAAGUGAAGAUGAGAUUGGAGAAGGAUCAAAAAGCCAGGUCAUGUAGGACAGUAUAGCUCAAGGCCAAAUAAUACCCACCUGUGAGUUCAGUGUGACUGAUGAGCCAACGGUCUGCAACCUCAAAACAGAAAGAAGGAGGAGGGUCCAGGAUCUUGCCAACACUAAGAUGUCAGAGGAGUAGGAUCCAGCCAUCAAAGAAUGUUCAGAACCCACUGAACAGACAGAGGGAAAACCAAGAGUGUGAUAUUCCUCAAGACAAAAGAAGAAAGCGGCAGGAAGAAGCUGAAUGGUCAGCUUUGUAGGCUGCUGACAAGAGUUUGGGUAAGGUGAGGACCCACAAAUGUCCAUUUGAUGUGCCAUCAUGAGUAUUGGUUGGUAACCUCAACUAGAGAAGUUUCUGUAGAUCUCUGGUAUGGAAUCCUGUUUGAAGAAGAUUGAAGAAUUAAUGUGAGAUAUGAAAGUAAAAAGAGC
rnacentral:lncRNA from 1 species